AUGCAUGUGUGUGUAGGUGUGUGUUCUGCCAUGGAUCAGUGUGAGGACAGAGAGGAGGGAGUCCAUCCCUCUAAAAGGACUCUGUGUGGAGAACAUGAGAACCAGACCACAGCUCAGAGGUCAGAGCCUGAAGUUGAACCCAGCUGUGUUUCCCUGAGGAGUGACUUGUCGAAGGACUUACCAAUAUACUUUAGAGGACACUCUGACUCUGAGUUUCCGUCCAGCUGUGAGUCCCUGAAGAGUGACGGGUCUAUGAAGGAACCCCUUCACUUUAAAUCAGGACCAGGACCUGCUGAUGAGGGCGUCAGCCAGCAGAGCUCCCAGGUUCUCCGUGGAGGCUCCGCCCCUCAGCAUCCAGCACAUCUGGACUCCAUCUUUAUGGUGAGAACCAGUCUCCAUUCAGCACU